ACUUCAGUGUGUUAACGUGCUUUCAGAUUUGAAUGUUGUAACAACAACAAACUUUGUGGAUGCUACAGAGACGAUGUGAGGAAUGUCUCCAUUACUAGUUAUAUACGAUUACAACAUUGAUGAACAAUAAGUGAAUAAAUAAAAAGUAUCUUAACAUUAACUAAACAUUUUUUGCCCCUCAUGUGAUGACAAUUCUGACGUCAUGUCGGGCUCUUAAUUCUUUCCCGAGUUUCCGAGUUGUUGCUCCGACUUGAGCAAGCGUUCAUGUUCUUUUUCCAACUCAGAAACUUAUUUUCCCGAUGUGUCCGACACCAUAUGAAUGCACCAUUAGUUCAUGUGGACUAAAGUAGUAGAAUGACAGACAUUACACUGCUGGAGUAUAAAAAAAAAACAUGUUGAUGUGAAACACACGAGGGAGCUGAAAUAUGAUCCUGGCUCAUAACUUGAUACAGGAACUUGUAUUCAGCAGCAGACGGGGUUUUUGUAUCAGUCUGUUUCACUGUGUGGUACAUCUUUGGCUCUGGAACUAAACUGUUUGUAACAGAUAAACAGGUGGUGCAGCCCGUGGUGAGCGUGUACCCGGCAGCAUCGAGAGCCCAGCUGGAGGAGAAGAGCUCUCUACUGUGUGUGGCCUCAGCCAUGUUUCCUCCUCUGGUCCGGAUCUCCUGGAAAAAACAGAAAGGAGCGGGCCUCUGCAGGAUGUGAACCCUGCUGAUGUGAAACGGCAGGAGCUGAGGGAGUCGGGGUGCAGCGCCUCCAUCUUGACGAUCCCUCAGAUACCGAAUAAAUACCUCUGCUCAGUGCAGCAUCAGGGGGGCACAGUGACUGCUCAAAAAGAAAUAGAGGUCACAAAUCCUACGACCUCCAGUCCUCCAGAGAGAGAGCCGACUGACAAUCCAGCUUCAAGCUCAGCAGCCCAGCCACCUACAGCCAAACCAGCCUUACAGGACGCGGGAGAAGGAGUGUCCUUUCAGUCUCAGUGCAAGGUGAAGCUGCUGACGCUGCUGUACACGGUGCUGAUACUAAAGAGUCUGGUGUACUGCUGUGGACUCUCUCUGCUGAGGAUCUUCAGAAAC